rnacentral:rRNA from 1 species
AGAACGAACGCUGGCGGCAGGCCUCAAACAUGCAAGUCUAGGGGGUGUAGCAAUACAUCACCGGCGGACGGGUGCGUAACACGUGGGAAUAUACCUUUUGGUUCGGAACAACGCAGGGAAACUUGCGCUAAUACCGAAUGUGCCCUUACGGGGAAAGAUUUAUCGCCAAAGGAUUAGCCCGCGUAGGAUUAGCUAGUUGGUGAGGUAAUGGCUCACCAAGGCUCCGAUCCUUAGCUGUUCUGAGAGGAAGAUCAGCCACACUGGGACUGAGACACGGCCCAGACUCCUACGGGAGGCAGCAGUUGGGAAUCUUGGACAAUGGGGGAAACCCUGAUCCAGCCAUGCCGCGUGAGUGAUGAAGGCCUUCGGGUUGUAAAACUCUUUCGACGGGACGAUAAUGACGGUACCCGUAGAAGAAGCUCCGGCUAACUUCGCGCCAGCAGCCGC